rnacentral:rRNA from 1 species
UACGUAGGGUGCAAGCGUUACUCGGAAUAACUGGGCGUAAAGGGUGCGCAGGCGGAUUUGCAAGACAGAUGUGAAAGCCCUGGGCUUAACCUGGGAACUGCAUUUGUGACUGCAAGUCUAGAGUAUGGCAGAGGGAGGUGGAAUUCCAUGUGUAGCAGUGAAAUGCAUAGAGAUAUGGAGGAACACCAGUGGCGAAGGCGGCUACCUGGACCAGCACUGACACUGAGGCACGAAAGCGUGGGGAGCAAACAGG